AUGCCAGAUUCUUCACCUGCUGAGCCACCAGGGCACUCUGAAACACAAUAGAUUUUAAAUUAUUUUAAUAACACUUUCUUCACUCUCUUUCUGAUUCUCUCGCCUUUGUUUUGCAUCAUCCCAGUGGUUUUCUCCCUCAAUCUGAAGAAAAACCAGGACAGCCUGACCCUGGCUCACUGUAGCUAUUGGAGAUUUUCCUACUCCAUUGUACCUACUAUCUUACCAAGACUCUGCAGAAGUAGAGUGAAACCUUCAAAUUUCGCCCCAAGACUGGUCAGAUGUUUUUUUUACUCAUCCUUCCUUUGUGUCAAUUUUCUUUAUCUAAGAAACCAAGUCAUUCUCUCUACACCCCCUCAUUAUCAGUCUUGAGGCGGUCCUUUCGCCAGGUAGGGUAUAGGUAGACAGUACUGCUUUCUCUGUUGGGCACCGGAUGCCACAAGCCACUUUUCAUCCCCAUCCACUGCUCAGGCACCUGCUGAAGGAUGAACGACAGAUUCCAGCACGUGAGCAGAGCCAAAGGAGGAGUUCCACAGCUCCAGGGAAAGUUCUGGCUGCUUCUUACUGACUCUCAAGUUUUUCAAAAUGAUGAAGUGGGUUAAAAAAAAAAAAGUCUCGAGAGAAAAAUUAAAACUCCAACCUUUAAUGAAUAGAAAACAAAAAGUCUCAACAUUGCUUUCUCUGGCAUUAGUGAUUUUGGAACAAAUCCUAUUCUACAGACAACAUUUUUUAAAAAUUGAACAAGAGUGUCUAAUUGCCACUGAUUUCAUGAAGAGCUAAAAAAAAUUCAUCAUCAGAUGUAAGGCAAAAGCACGUAAAAUAGAAUCUUGGUAAAAUCAAAACACAAUAACUUAAAGAUUCUCAGAAAACACGAAUUGUUUAUAUUCCUAACUUUCUAUUUCUGUAAUGAUGUCUGUAUAUAUACCUAAUUCAUUGUUACCUUAUUUUAAACCUUUUUCUCCCGAGUGAUGUGCGUUUUUACUUUUUUAUCUCAAGUGUUAAUAUAGAUUCUUUUUUUCUCGGUUAGACAAUUCUCAAAGAGCUGAGAAUUGAAGCUUGAAAUCUAUGCAUCAUUAGUAAUUUCACAUCCCAUAAAAUUGUUCUUUCCUCCAAUAAAUGGUUCAGCACCUUUUAAUUGUAGGAAGGUUGCUAAAAGUGCCCAAUAAAAUCAGAGUUUUCUGGAGGAGACAGGAAGGCAGGUUAUCUGCUGUGGAUAAACAGUUACCUGGCAAUAACCUGGUGGGAGAACCAGGCUACAAUAACGCAUUACAAAGAAAAAAGUGUCCUGGUUGAUAUGGAAAAAUGGCAAACCAUGAAUCUUAGGGCACCUGUGCUUUCCCCUGCGCAUGAAGUAACCAUAGAUUAGUCACCAACCUGCCAUAUGCUUGCAGAACCUGUGUGUAAUUAACCAGCAUGGCAGGUUUAGGCAGCGGUUGUAUAAAGAGGGUGAGUUUCAGAGGCAGAAACAGGUGCGUCCCUGUACACAGUAUGAUUCAUUCUCUGUGCCUUAAUCUCUCUCUUCUCCAGGGAACACUCUCCUUGCACGGACUGGCCUGGGAAAUAGAUCUGUACAUGCUUUUUAAGAAAAAAUUUUAUUGAAGUAUAGUGGAUUUACAAUGCUGUGUUAGUUUCAGGUGUAAGCAAAUGAUUCAGUUACACACACAUAUAUUCUUGUUCAGAUUCUCUUCCGUAUAAGUUAUUACAAGAUACUGAGUAGAAUUCCCUGUGCUAUACAGUAGGUUCUUCUUGGUUACUUUCUUUUUCUUUUUUGGUCUUUUUGUCUUUUUAGGGCCACACCUGCAGCAUAUGGAGGUUCCCAGGCUAGAGGUCCAAUCAGAGCUGUAGCUGCCAGCCUACGCCACAGUCACAGCAAUGCCAGAUCUGAGCCGCGUCUUCGACCUACAUCACAGCUCAUGCAAAGCCAGAUCCUUAACCCACUGAGUGAGGCCAGGUAUUGAACCUGCUUCCUCAUGGAUGCUAGUCGGAUUCAUUAACUGCUGAGCCACGACGGGGACUCCUAGGUUACCUAUUUUAUACACAAUAGUGUGUAUCUGUUAAUCCCCAAAUCCUAAUUUAUCCCUCCCCCCAAGAGACUUUUUUUUCUCUUUUCUCAAGUUUUUUUUUUAAGUAUAGUUGAUUUAUAAUGUUGUGAUGAUUUCUGCUGUACAACAAAGUGAUUCAGUUAUACCUAUACACACAUCCAUUCUCUUUCAGAUUCUUUUCGCAUAUAGAUUGUUACAGAAUAUGGGGGAAAGUUGCCUGUGUUACACAGCAGCUUCCCAUUGCCAGGCAGUCCAUAUACCUCAGUGUGCAUAUGUCAAUCCCAAACCCCUUGUCUAUCUCUCCCUGCCUCUACCUGUCUCCUUUGGUGACCACAAGUUUGUUUUCAAAGUCUGUAUGUUUCUGUUCUGCAAAUAAGUUCCCUAUGAUUCUUUUUUUUAGAUUCCAUGUGUAAAUGAUAUCAUAUGAGGUUUGUCUUUCACUGUCUAACUUACUUGGCACGAUCAUCUCUAGAUCCACCCAUGUUGCUGCAAAUGGCAUUAUUUCAUCCUUUUUUAUGGCCGAGUAAUAUUCCAUGGUGUUCUAUGUGCCUUUAUGUUGGGAAUAAUGGAGAUAAUGCAAUCUCCUGUCUCAGGCCAGACCAUCAGGCUUUGAGAAUGUUCCCAAAAGCUUACAUCAGGGAAACUGUACUUCUCCGACAAUUUGUUGAGGUGUUUUGCACUAACUGAACGAGGAUUCUUAUUGAUAUUGACUUUUUUCUUUUAAUUUGGAAGAAGGAAUUAAGAGGAACAUUGGGUUUGCAGCUAUGUUUCCCAAUCUAGCCAAAAUAGUCAGAGAGGAAAGUUUGCUUUUGUGGGUUGACAAGCUCAUUACUUGUUCUAGUAAAAGAUGUAUAAGCAGAGAAGCAUAGGUUCAGAGAGAGAGAAUGAGUGUUAAAGCAUCAUCCUUGCCAUUCAGGUGACUAAGGAUAUAGCCGUGUCUAUACCAGAUAACUGGAAAUUUGCCCUUUUUUUAAGGACACAUGGAAGGGAAGAGAUUCUACAGUUUCCCACUUAAAUGUUUUAAUGCAGAAUCCAAUCCUUCUCAAAAUUGGAAGGUUUUGCCCGCUUUCCUGACCUUGACAUACAGCUGUGUAGAUCCAUUUAUAACAUAAAGAAACGUGUGAGAUAGAGCGACUGAUGGAUACCGACAGAGAUGUCACGUGCUAAGUGUACCUUACUGUCCUCAGUCUUUUUGCCUUAAGGCUAAAUUCUUCUCUCCUUCAGGAAUCUGUCUUUUUUUCCUCCUGAAUACAGGACUAAUGUUUAGAUUUGUCCUUCAAAAUCUUCCAAGCUCUUCUUGUCCUUUUUAAGCCGUGCAGUCUUGAGUCCCUCUCAUCUCUCAAAAUCUGACUACAGAGACCUGACCACGUUACUGGCCAAUAGGAAUGCGAGAAAUCGCGAGAACUCGCCCUCCUUUAAAUUGUUCUGUAGUGACAGGAAGUGAGCUUCCUGUCACAUGGGAUGCCGGUGUCCAUACCCAAAGGCCCUAUUUGCAGCUGGUCUGAGCCUCGCUUUCCUCUUAAAAGCAUUACCACGGUCCUCGGCAUUUUUCAGUUUUCUUUGGGCAAAACCACUGCUUUCGGUGCUUACAUGAGUCAGUGCCUAUAAAGUGCUUCUGAGGCUGGCAGACUCCUGUGGAUCAGAUAUAAAUUCUAUCACAGUUGUCACUGUGCUUGUGUAUAGUUAUCUGUCCAAAUUCUGAUAUGCGGCUUUUAUCCUUCACUGGUUUACUCCUUCAUCAUCAGCCCUCCUUUAUCCCACCCCCACCCCCCACCCCGUACAAUGAAACUCACAAAGUAGUAAUUUAAAUAUAUUAUUUAUAUUAUAUUCCAAGAUGGAUCCAAGUUAGAACCCUUUAGAAUUCCCGUUAAAAUCCUUCUAUUCCUCAUCAGGCACCCAUAUAGUGAUCUGACUUGUGGCUGUAGGUGUUGCUGUCUUAGAUUUUAGAACACCCUCUGCUGUGAGACUAGAGGCAUGGGUUCCAAACGACCAAUAAUUAAUUUUAGAUAGGAGCAUAUUAUUCAUAAAAUAUUAUUCUUGAAAUUAUAGACACUGAAAAGUAGAUAAAAUUCAGGCCGAAUAAUUUAGUUGGUGUUCAAACAAACACUGUACAUUUGUUACAUUUUCUUUGACAAUUUUUCCAGUUUUGGAGAACGUUUCAGAGCUAUUCAUUGUAGGGGACUUAACUACUAAUGUUACUCUUGGUUAUUCAAUCACCUUUGCUUAUAAUCGUGUAUUUUUAAUGUCUUUUAUGCAAGAAGGAACGCUUAAUAUAUCUUUACCCCCCAGUGAGUCUUUGAGACUUUCUUUGUCUUAGGAAUAAAAUAUACUUUUUAAAGACUCGAUUUAUAAUGUUCGGAGAGUUCCAGACAUGAUUUUCCAAGAUAUUUUUAGCUGAUGAGCACCGAUUGUUUUCGGUGUCAUUAACACAAGGUGGGCUGCUUCUGAGGACCUUUGUCACUUCAGUUUGCACGUGGCUCAAGGACUAACACGGUCAGUUACACGGGUGGAGGGAGUGUCUACCGCUGUGAAUAUCACGGCAAGAUCACAGUAAGCCCCACUCUUCAUUUCUAACGGCCGAAUGUGGGCUGUCCUAAGUCCUGUAAGUGCAACUCCCAUGUAUACAGCCUGGGAGAAUCUGACAGAGCAGCAGCAUUUCUUGCAAAUGGCUCAGAACUGCACGGGGCAUUCUUAUUAAAGAUACAUGAACUCAGAGGUUUUUUUUCCCUACUACGUCGAAACUGGCAGUGCUAAUUAUGAAGUGACAAUUAGAAACAGAACUAGCUUGUACUCUUGCUGUUAACUGCUCAUCCUAAGUC
rnacentral:lncRNA from 1 species